ensembl:lncRNA
CGUCUUACAUGUCUAUUCUAUGCGUCGUUACCCUCUGUCGUUACUGUGUCGUCUUACAUGUCUAUUCUAUGCGUCGUUACCCUCUGUCGUUACUGUGUCGUCUUACAUGUCUAUUCUAUGCGUCGUUACCCUCUGUCGUUACUGUGUCAUCUUCCAUGUCUAUGCUAUGCGUCGUUACCCUCUGUCGUUACUGUGUCGUCUUCCAUGUCUAUUCUAUGCGUCGUUACCCUCUGUCGUUACUGUGUCGUCUUCCAUGUCUAUGCUAUGCGUCGUUACCCUCUGUCGUUACUGUGUCGUCUUCCAUGUCUAUGCUAUGCGUCGUUACCCUCUGUCGUUACUGUGUCGUCUUCCAUGUCUAUGCUAUGCGUCGUUACCCUCUGUCGUUACUGUGUCGUCUUCCAUGUCUAUGCUAUGCGUCGUUACCCUCUGUCGUUACUGUGUCGUCUUCCAUGUCUAUGCUAUGCGUCGUUACCCUCUGUCGUUACUGUGUCGUCUUCCAUGUCUAUGCUAUGCGUCGUUACCCUCUGUCGUUACUGUGUCGUCUUCCAUGUCUAUGCUAUGCGUCGUUACCCUCUGUCGUUACUGUGUCGUCUUCCAUGUCUAUGCUAUGCGUCGUUACCCUCUGUCGUUACUGUGUCGUCUUCCAUGUCUAUGCUAUGCGUCGUUACCCUCUGUCGUUACUGUGUCGUCUUCCAUGUCUAUGCUAUGCGUCGUUACCCUCUGUCGUUACUGUGUCGUCUUCCAUGUCUAUGCUAUGCGUCGUUACCCUCUGUCGUUACUGUGUCGUCUUCCAUGUCUAUGCUAUGCGUCGUUACCCUCUGUCGUUACUGUGUCGUCUUCCAUGUCUAUGCUAUGCGUCGUUACCCUCUGUCGUUACUGUGUCGUCUUCCAUGUCUAUGCUAUGCGUCGUUACCCUCUGUCGUUACUGUGUCGUCUUCCAUGUCUAUGCUAUGCGUCGUUACCCUCUGUCGUUACUGUGUCGUCUUCCAUGUCUAUGCUAUGCGUCGUUACCCUCUGUCGUUACUGUGUCGUCUUCCAUGUCUAUGCUAUGCGUCGUUACCCUCUGUCGUUACUGUGUCGUCUUCCAUGUCUAUGCUAUGCGUCGUUACCCUCUGUCGUUACUGUGUCGUCUUCCAUGUCUAUGCUAUGCGUCGUUACCCUCUGUCGUUACUGUGUCGUCUUCCAUGUCUAUGCUAUGCGUCGUUACCCUCUGUCGUUACUGUGUCGUCUUCCAUGUCUAUGCUAUGCGUCGUUACCCUCUGUCGUUACUGUGUCGUCUUCCAUGUCUAUGCUAUGCGUCGUUACCCUCUGUCGUUACUGUGUCGUCUUCCAUGUCUAUGCUAUGCGUCGUUACCCUCUGUCGUUACUGUGUCGUCUUCCAUGUCUAUGCUAUGCGUCGUUACCCUCUGUCGUUACUGUGUCGUCUUCCAUGUCUAUGCUAUGCGUCGUUACCCUCUGUCGUUACUGUGUCGUCUUCCAUGUCUAUGCUAUGCGUCGUUACCCUCUGUCGUUACUGUGUCGUCUUCCAUGUCUAUGCUAUGCGUCGUUACCCUCUGUCGUUACUGUGUCGUCUUCCAUGUCUAUGCUAUGCGUCGUUACCCUCUGUCGUUACUGUGUCGUCUUCCAUGUCUAUGCUAUGCGUCGUUACCCUCUGUCGUUACUGUGUCGUCUUCCAUGUCUAUGCUAUGCGUCGUUACCCUCUGUCGUUACUAUGUGUCGUCUUCCAUGUCUAUGCUAUGCGUCUAUGCUAUGCGUCGUUGCUAU